rnacentral:misc_RNA from 1 species
UGUGGGAGCGGGCUUGCUCGCGAUAGCGGUGUUUCAGUCGCCAUUAAAGUUGACUGAUACGACGCCAUCGCGAGCAAGCUCGCUCCCACA